UCCGGUGGCGAUGCGCUUAGGGGAAACACCCGUACCCAUCCCGAACACGAUGGUUAAGACCUAAGCGGCCGAUGGUACUAUGCUGGAGACGGCAUGGGAGAGCAGGUGGCUGCCGGAU
rnacentral:rRNA from 6 species